rnacentral:rRNA from 1 species
CCUACGGGUGGCAGCAGUAACGAAUCUUCCCCAAUGCACGAAAGUGUGAGGGAGCGACGCCGCGUGCGGGACGAAGCCCUUCGGGGUGUAAACCGUAAAAGAGCGAGGGAAAGUUCUGAUCCCUGCUCAGUAAGGAGCGACUAACUCUGUGCCAGCAGUCGCGGUAAUACAGAGGCUCCAAGCGUUAGGCGGAAUCACUGGGCUUAAAGCGUGCGUAGGCGGCCCUUCAAGUGCUUUGUGAAAGCCCACGGCUCAACCGUGGAAUUGCUUGGCAU